rnacentral:rRNA from 1 species
GACGAACGCUGGCGGCGUGCUUAACACAUGCAAGUCGAACGGAAAGGCCCUGCUUUUGUGGGGUGCUCGAGUGGCGAACGGGUGAGUAACACGUGAGUAACCUGCUCUUGACUUUGGGAUAACUUCAGGAAACUGGGGCUAAUACCGGAUAGGAGCUCCUGCUGCAUGGUGGGGGUUGGAAAGUUUCGGCGGUUGGGGAUGGACUCGCGGCUUAUCAGCUUGUUGGUGGGGUAGUGGCUUACCAAGGCUUUGACGGGUAGCCGGCCUGAGAGGGUGACCGGCCACAUUGGGACUGAGAUACGGCCCAGACUCCUACGGGAGGCAGAAGUGGGGAAUAUUGCACAAUGGGCGGAAGCCUGAUGCAGCAACGCCGCGUGCGGGAUGACGGCCUUCGGGUUGUAAACCGCUUUCGCCUGUGACGAAGCGUGAGUGACGGUAAUGGGUAAAGAAGCACCGGCUAACUACGUG